rnacentral:rRNA from 1 species
UACGGAGGGGGCUAGCGUUGUUCGGAAUUACUGGGCGUAAAGCGCACGUAGGCGGAUAUUUAAGUCAGGGGUGAAAUCCCGGGGCUCAACCCCGGAACUGCCUUUGAUACUGGGUAUCUGGAGGUCGAGAGAGGCGAGUGGAAUUCCGAGUGUAGGGGUGAAAUUCGUAGAUAUUCGGAGGAACACCAGUGGCGAAGGCGGCUCGCUGGCUCGAUACUGACGCUGAGGUGCGAAAGCGUGGGGAGCAAACAGG